CGAAGUCGCAAACUCGCGAGAGUAAGCCAAUCUCUUAAAGCCGUUCUCAGUUCGGACUGUAGGCUGCAACUCGCCUACACGAAGUCGGAAUCGCUAGUAAUCGCGGAUCAGCAUGCCGCGGUGAAUACGUUCCCGGGCCUUGUACACACCGCCCGUCACACCAUGGGAGUCUGUAACACCCAAAGCCGGUGGGAUAACCUUUAUAGGAGUCAGCCGUCUAAGGUAGGACAGAUGAUUAGGGUGAAGUCGUAACAAGGUAUC
rnacentral:rRNA from 1 species